GCGCCCGUAGCUCAACUGGAUAGAGCAUCAGACUACGAAUCUGGCGGUUAGGAGUUCGAAUCUCUUCGGGCGCGCCA
rnacentral:tRNA from 1 species